AUUGAACGCUGGCGGCAGGCCUAACACAUGCAAGUCGAGCGAGCGGCGGACGGGUGAGUAAUGUCUGGGAAACUGCCUGAUGGAGGGGGAUAACUACUGGAAACGGUAGCUAAUACCGCAUACCAUCAGAUGUGCCCAGGUGGGAUUAGCUAGUAGGUGGGGUAACGGCUCACCUAGGCGACGAUCCCUAGCUGGUCUGAGAGGAUGACCAGCAAGACUGGGACUGAACAACGGGCCGAACUCCUACGGGAGGCAGCAGUGGAGGAAAUUGCACAAGGGGCGCAAGCCUGAUGCAGCCAAGCCGCUUGUAUUGAGAGGGCCUUCGGGUUUUAGAGCACAUUCAGCGGGGAGGCGUUACCCGCAGAAGAAGCACCGGCUAGCUCCGUGACAGCAGCCGCGGUAAUAC
rnacentral:rRNA from 1 species